GCUAUUGCAAAAGUAAGUUAUUUAUCUCUGGCUUAGGUUCUUUGUGAGAGAAUGAGCUUGGCCUGAAGUAGAAGUUUCUGAUUAUGCAGACUCCUGUGGUGUUUUGCUGAGGGUACUGGAAGUUUCUAUGAAAAGGCAUGAAAGUUGAAGAACUCUGUUGGAUGAGGAGGGGUACACCAAAAGAGCAAUUGCUGCCUCAGCCAAGAGUAUCCUCUUACCCUUUCCAGAUUGCUCGGCUCAACUUAGCACUUUGCACAGGCUGCAUUUUUCAUCCUAUUGUCUAGUCACAAUAGUGCUGCAGACAGAAGACUGUGAGUUGAUUAACCAUCCAAUGGGGGAAAUACUUGGAAUCCAUCACUAGUUAUACUGCUGAUGAUGGUAGAGAAAGGUCUAUCUUAGAGAUUGCUGUGUCCUAAUCUCCUCUAUCUCCAGUGACUGUUUUCUUAGUAAAACAUCUAAGAAGGCAGGAAAAAGAAUGACGGACUCCAGGGAACAUGACUUAAACAUGCAACUUUCUAAUCUUUGUAAGCCUUCCUCAUUUAGGAAGUUACCAGGUUGUAUGCCAGGAGGAGUCAAGGAACAAGUUCCAAGUUGAAGACAGAAAGGACAAGGGUUGGGAGGGAGAGUGUAGAUUCCAAUUAUGUUCUAAUUAUAAGUGAAGAUGACUUCCUCAUAAAUGUCACCUUCUCAUGAAAUGUGGGCCUUCAAUUCACAGUCCAGGAUCAGUUUCUUC
rnacentral:sRNA from 1 species